rnacentral:ncRNA from 1 species
AAACUAAGAAAAAGAAAUGAAAACAAUGUUAGUUAAUACAUAUUGGUGGUGGCACCCGUUAAGAUUCCUACAGUCGUAAGGAAGCAGUGCUCGUAUGUAUAUACUAUAAAAGUUAACAAAUAAACGAAGAGCCCUGUC